rnacentral:rRNA from 1 species
AUGGGGGACGAGGAAAGAGGAGCGGCGGCGGCGCCGCUGCUGCUGCCAGCGUCGCCGUCGUCGGCGAGCCGUCACCACGAGGCGGGGUGCCCCGGCUGCGCGCUGGACCGGAGGAAGGAGAGCUCCGGCGGCAGGAUCCCCUACAAGGAGCUCUUCUUCGUCGGCCUCACCACCCUCGCCUCAUCUUUGCCCAUCACAUGCCUCUUUCCCUUUAUGUAUUUCAUGGUUAGAGACUUCCACGUUGCUAAAACAGAGGAAGAUAUAGGGUCUUAUGCUGGUUUCCUUGCUUCUUCGUACAUGAUUGGCAGAGCCUUUUCUGCGAUUUUUUGGGGCAUUGUGGCGGACCGUAUUGGACGGAAGCCUGUCAUUGUAUUUUCCAUCCUGUCUGUGGUCAUAUUUAACACACUGUUUGGACUAAGUACAGAGUACUGGAUGGCAAUAGCUACAAGACUUGUUCUAGGUUCCCUAAAUGGUUUACUUGCUCCAAUAAAGGCUUAUGCUAUUGAAGUUUGUCAAGCUGAACAUCAUGCUCUUGGGCUCUCAGUUGUGAACACAGCGUGGGGUUUUGGUCUUGUAAUCGGUCCAGCUCUUGGAGGCUACCUUGCUCAGCCUGCUGAAAAGUACCCACAAAUAUUCUCCAAGGAGUCAGUUUUUGGGAGGUUUCCAUAUUUCUUACCUUGUGUAGCUGUGUCAUUGCUUGCUGCCAUUGUUCUCAUAAGUUGUAUAUGGAUGCCGGAGACCAUACACAAACAUAAGAGUCCGGAGAAGGAUAUCCAAAAGGUCAAAGCCUUGCCAUCGGAACAAUCUUAUUUAGAUUCACCUCGCAAGAAGAGUUUGCUCCAGAAUUGGCCAUGGAUGUCAACUAUGGUGUCCUAUUGUUUCUUUGGUCUUCAUGACACUGCAUAUAGUGAAAUACUUUCCUUGUGGGCUGUUAGUGACAGAAAGUAUGGUGGUCUUAGCUUCUCAUCUGAAGAUAUCGGUGGAGUUCUUGCCGUGGCAGGUGCUAGUCUUCUUGUAUAUCAGCUUAUCAUUUAUCACUGGGUUCAUAAGUUUCUGGGGCCAGUCAUUUCGUCGCGUGUUGCUUCUGCUCUGUCCAUACUUAUUGUCAGUACUUAUCCCUUUAUGACAUACUUAUCUGGCGCCAAACUUUCUUUUGCUCUCUACUCUGCAGCCAUGAUGAGAAGUGUUGUUGCGAUUACUGCCAGCACAGGAAUUUCCCUUCUGCAGAACCAUGCUGUGCGUCAAGACCAAAGAGGCACUGCGAAUGGUAUAUCGACAACUGCCAUGUCGUUUUUCAAGGCGAUUGCUCCAAUCGGGGCUGGUUAUCUGUUCUCAUGGGCGCAGAAACAUCAGGACAGCACCUUCUUCCCAGGUGAUCAAAUGGUGUUCUUGGUGCUGAAUUUGGUGCAGCUCCUUGGGCUCAUGUUUACCUUUGAGCCUUUCCUGGUAUUACCCACUGUAGGAGAAGAGUGCAGUUAG